rnacentral:rRNA from 1 species
GAGCACGUAGGUGGGUUUGUAAGUCAGAUGUGAAAGCCUUCUGUUCAACGGAAGAAUAGCAUCUGAAACUGCAAAGCUUGAGUGUAGGAGGGGAGAGUGGAACUUCUGGUGGAGCGGUGAAAUGCGUAGAUAUCAGAAGGAACGCCGGUGGCGAAAGCGACUCUCUAUCCUAUUACUGACACUGAGUGUGCGAAAGCUAGGGGAGCAAACGGGAUUAGAUACCCCGGUAGUCCUAGCCGUAAACGAUGGGCACUAAGUAGAGGGG